UACGAACUGUGCAAACGUUAUUCGGAUUCACUGGGCUUAAAGGGUGCGUAGGCGGCCAUGUAAGUAGGGUGUGAAAUCCCCCGGCUUAACCGGGGAACUGCGCCCUAAACUGUACGGCUGGAGUGAGAUAGGGGUGUGUGGAACUUCCGGUGGAGCGGUGAAAUGUGUUGAUAUCGGAAGGAACGCCGGUGGCGAAGCGACACACUGGUCUCAACUGACGCUGAGGAGCGAAAGCGUGGGAGCGACGAGG
rnacentral:rRNA from 1 species